rnacentral:tRNA from 1 species
AAUGAUGUAGUUUAAUUUAAGAAUGGUCUCUCUGCAAGAGACUGGUGGGAUUUCCCGUUGUUG